CAGAGGCUAAUGCCUGAUGCAUGAGAUUUAAGAGAAGAGGCAAAAUCAACCUUGGCCCCGAGACAGGAACAGCACAUGAGACAUCUUUCCACAUGGAUUGGUAGUUUUAUCAAGUGGAAUUUAAUCCCCCCAAAUCAAGAGGAUUAUUUUGGCUGUAGUAGGGACACAGAGUCAUAACACCUCAACCAGGGCGAUGCCAAUGGACGUGGAAGGAAAAGAAAGAUGUGGGGAAAACAGGAAGGAAAAGCUGACAAGACUGGGUGAACAAUGAAGUUUAGAAGGUAAUGGAAAUGGAAGUUAAAUAAAGUUUCAUUUUGUUUUUCAAGCAAGAACUUCCUGUUUCUACUGUGCUAUUUGGGGGGAGAAAACAACAACAACAACUAAUCACGAUAUUGUCGCUACACAUCGGACACUAUUGUCCUAAAAUAUAGC